CAUUAUUCUAGCAUUAGUUAGGUUUCGUUUUUAUGCAAAGAACCAAUUAGAGCUCUGCAAAAUAUUGUGAGAUCCAAAUUUGAUUGGUUCUCCCUUCUUCCAAUAGAAAUAUUGUUGACAUUUUUGUAUCUUUGAUUUACAUGUUUCUAUUUGAUUUUUUUGUUAUUAUAUUCAAUUUGAUCCACUAGGAUGGGAGGUGGGGCAAUGACAAAUCACUAUGAGGCAUGGUCGUACGUGUUUUGUGUGGAUGAAUAAAUAUGGGCGCUUCUUGACAGCAGCACAACUACUUUUCUUUUCUUUUUCCCUUUUAAUUUUUGUUCCCGUUUUUUCUUUUGAACCUAGGGUUUUUACAGGACAAUUAUUUUUAGAGUUCUUGAGCAAUUAAAGUGUUUUUUUUUCUCGAAACUAGACUUGAUGGUGCAUUGUAGUAGGACCCGUACAAUCGAAGUUUCAUAGUUCUGGUUAUUGGUGUCACACAUUUGAAACUUAUGUUCAAACUUCAUAUUUGUAGAUCGUCUAGACGUUGUUAGUUUUAGAUUUUUGUAUUUUAAAAAAAAAAAUAUAUUUCUUUUGAUAUUUCUAUUUUAUAAAAUGAAUUUUAGUUAUCAUAUAAAGUGAGAUUUAAACUAAUUAAUCGUGUUCCAAAAGACACAAAUUAAUCAGCUUUCUAGACUGUCAUCUAAACGUUUCAUUUUGAUUACUGUUUUUGGUAAAAAAACAGAUGACAGAUUAUACUUUUGGCUGCACAGACCCAUACAAAAAAUAAACAUCACAACCUAAUUUCCACAUUCGACCUAAUAUUUCUUGGCGUUUAAAUUCAGAUGGUCCUAAAU
rnacentral:lncRNA from 1 species